GACCAGUGCUAUAUAGCAACUUUAAUAAGUGAUGAAGUAGCAGCAGUAGCAUGUAGAAUCGAAUCCUCGAGCGGUUCCGUCCCAUCUCAGCAGGCAGUCUCGCUCCCAGAGUUCGGGACCCACCCUCCGGAGGCAUUCUUGCCACUCAACUGCCAUUUUGGCUCAUUCAUCUUUUCGUCAAAUCCUAAGAGAAGGGGCAUAACAAAGAAGCUCUUCCUCUACUGGCGAU
rnacentral:lncRNA from 1 species